GAUGAACGCUGGCGGCGUGCCUAAUACAUGCAAGUCGAGCGAACGGACGAGAAGCUUGCUUCUCUGAUGUUAGCGGCGGACGGGUGAGUAACACGUGGAUAACCUACCUAUAAGACUGGGAUAACUUCGGGAAACCGUUGCUAAUACCGGAUAAUAUUUUGAACCGCAUGGUUCAAAAGUGAAAGACGGUCUUGCUGUCACUUAUAGAUGGAUCCGCGCUGCAUUAGCUAGUUGGUAAGGUAACGGCUUACCAAGGCAACGAUGCAUAGCCGACCUGAGAGGGUGAUCGGCCACACUGGAACUGAGACACGGUCCAGACUCCUACGGGAGGCAGCAGUAGGGAAUCUUCCGCAAUGGGCGAAAGCCUGACGGAGCAACGCCGCGUGAGUGAUGAAGGUCUUCGGAUCGUAAAACCCUGUUAUUAGGGAAGAACAUAUGUGUAAGUAACUGUGCACAUCUUGACGGUACCUAAUCAGAAAGCCACGGCUAACUACGUG
rnacentral:rRNA from 1 species